GCCAAUGUGGUGUAGUGAUUUAAAUGUUGGACUAUGACUCUGGAGACAAGGGUUCAAUUCCCUGCUUGGACA